rnacentral:rRNA from 1 species
GGGCGGUCUCCUCCCAAAGAGUAACGGAGGAGCACGAAGGUGGGCUAAUCACGGUUGGACAUCGUGAGGUUAGUGCAAUGGCAUAAGCCCGCUUAACUGCGAGAAUGACGGUUCGAGCAGGUGCGAAAGCAGGUCAUAGUGAUCCGGUGGUUCUGUAUGGAAGGGCCAUCGCUCAACGGAUAAAAGGUACUCCGGGGAUAACAGGCUGAUACCGCCCAAGAGUUCAUAUCGACGGCGGUGUUUGGCACCUCGAUGUCGGCUCAUCACAUCCUGGGGCUGAAGUCGGUCCCAAGGGUAUGGCUGUUCGCCAUUUAAAGUGGUACGCGAGCUGGGUUUAGAACGUCGUGAGACAGUUCGGUCCCUAUCUGCCGUGGGCGUUGGAAGAUUGAAGGGGGCUGCUCCUAGUACGAGAGGACCGGAGUGGACGAACCUCUGGUGUUCGGGUUGUGUCGCCAGACGCAUUGCCCGGUAGCUAAGUUCGGAAUUGAUAAGCGCUGAAAGCAUCUAAGCGCGAAGCGAGCCCUGAGAUGAGUCUUCCCUGACAGUUUAACUGUCCUAAAGGGUUGUUCGAGACUAGAACGUUGAUAGGCAGGGUGUGUAAGCGUUGUGAGGCGUUGAGCUAACCUGUACUAAUUGCCCGUGAGGCUUAACCAUACAACACCCAAGG